ACACGGGUCGACCUAUCCCCUACGCCACCACGGCACGCCCGUGAAGGAAAAAUUUUAAUUUGUACUGCUAUCAUUUUAAUGAUAUUAAUAACAGGUUGUAGAGGUCAUCAAAGGUCAGUGAACAUCUGCUCAUGCUGAAACUUUGAAUUUCAUUUAAUUUAUAAGUUGCUAACCUAUGAACAUGAAUAAUUUAAUUUUAACCUGGAAGAAAUUCAAUUCAAACUAGGUCUUAUUUAGAAUGAACAACACCACCUCCCAAAACAAUCUCGGUGACCUGUGUCUUAGCUUCUGAUCACUAGAGGGUGCUAUUAGACAAACUGUACUUUUGAAAUACAAAAAAUAAGAAUAAAACCAAACAUGUGCUUGGCAUCUACUUUUGAGGUCAAUGUUAUGAUCGACAGCAAUCAUCAACUCUUCUUUUCAAUACUUCACACCAAGUUUAUUUAUUUUUGCAAUUGUGAGCAGGGCUACAGGAGUGGUUGACCUCUGAUGACCCCUGGAGAACAUUUUUCUUAAUAUCUUUAGAAUGAUGGCAGCACAAACAAAAAAAUUUUGCUGCACAAACCAGCACAAACACAGCCGAGUUAAUUGACACCCAUUUCGGCUGAUUUGAAGAAGGUGGGGGGGCUGGUUGACCUUUGAUGACCUCUA